GUCAUUUAAUAUAUUUUUUUCUUCACCAAAAUAUGUGCAUAUACUUCUUUGUUUAAAUAAUUUGACUCGCUUCUUUACUAAAGGUGUCUUAAAUUUUGUUCCAUCAAGUUUCUAUAACAUGUAUGUAUUAUUAUCAUGAAAGAAUUUCUUUGAAAAAUCUUUCUUCAUUUAUUUUCAAAAAAAUUUCACAUCCGACUUUUAAACCAUCUAAU
rnacentral:lncRNA from 1 species